GCUCAGUAACACGUAGUCAACAUGCCCAGGGGACGUGGAUAACCUCGGGAAACUGAGGAUAAACCGCGAUAGGUCAUAAUAUCUGGAAUGAUUUCUGGCUGAAAUCUAUAUGGCCCCUGGAUUGGACUGCGGCCGAUCAGGCUGUUGGUGAGGUAAUGGCCCACCAAACCUAAAACCGGUACGGGCUCUGAGAGAAGAAGCCCGGAGAUGGGCACUGAGACAAGGGCCCAGGCCCUAUGGGGCGCAGCAGGCGCGAAAACUCUGCAAUAAGCGAAAGCUUGACAGGGUUAUUCUGAGUGAUUUCCGCUAAGGAAAUCUUUUGGCACCUCUAAAAAUGGUGCAGAAUAAGGGGUGGGCAAGCCUGGUGUCAGCCGCCGCGGUAAUACCAGCACCCCGAGUGGUCGGGACGAUUAUUGGGCCUAAAGCAUCCGUAGCCGGUUCUACAAGUCUUCCGUUAAAUCCACCUGCUUAACAGAUGGGCUGCGGAGGAUACUAUGGAGCUAGGAGGCGGGAGAGGCAAGCGGUACUUAGUGGGUAGGGGUAAAAUCCGUUGAUCCAUUGAAGACCACCAGUGGCGAAGGCGGCUUGCCAGAACGCACUCGACGGUGAGGGAUGAAAGCUGGGGGAGCAAACCGGAUUAGAUACCCGGGUAGUCCCAGCUGUAAACGAUGCAGACUCGGUGAUGAAUAGGCUUCGUGCCUCUUCAGUGCCGCA
rnacentral:rRNA from 1 species